CUUGUUCACUGCGGUAGCGUCCAACGUGAGGACUGGAGAUCCCUGUCUUCCACUACCGGCCAUACGAAUGGAAGCAGCUGCCCGGCUCAAGUGGGACCUACAUGCGGCGUCACCGCUUCGUCCGUUCAACAAGGGAGGUUGAAUUUAUCGGGUACGUCGAAAUCGACUAGGCGGAUCGAUCACACUCCCUUCCCUUUCCAAGCGGCUCCGGUCGUCCUCCAUCUACUUUAAAGAGGACGCCUCCUGCGGAGAGAGGGGAGGAAGAAGCACAAGAGAAUGGAGAAGCCAGGCCUGGAUUCGCCUCUGAUCCCAGGCCACACCGAAGUCCUUGUCUCUGGUGCUGAUGUGGUGAACGAAGCAGGCCUGAAGAGUGACGGAGAGUUCUUCGCCGAGAUCAAGAGGCAACUCUGCUUGGCGGGGCCGCUAAUAGCAUCGAGCUUGUUGCAGAACAUUCUUCAGGUCAUAUCAGUCAUGUUCGUUGGCCAUCUUGGGGAGCUUGCCCUCUCUGGUGCUUCCAUGGCGACCUCCUUCGCUGGGGUCACUGGCUUCAGCUUCUUGUUGGGGAUGAGUACUGCAUUGGAUACAAUGUGUGGACAAGCCUUCGGAGCAAAACAGUACCACAUGCUUGGCAUACACAUGCAGAGAGCCAUGCUUGCCCUAACACUAGUAAGUCUUCCUGUUGCUGUGAUCUGGUCCUACACAGGUUCGAUUCUCAAACUAUGCGGGCAAGAUCCGGAGAUUGCAACCGAAGCUGGAUUGUAUGCUCGGUGGAUGAUUCCCACCAUUUUCGCAUAUGGACUCCUACAGUGCCAUGUUAGGUUCCUGCAGACCCAGAACAUUGUCUUCCCUAUGAUGCUGAGCACCGGCGUCACAGCUCUGUCGCACGUUCUUGUGUGUUGGCUUCUGGUGUUCAAGUCUGGCCUCGGAAGCAAAGGUGCAGCUGUGGCAAUCUCCAUCUCUUACUGGACAAAUGUGCUGCUGUUGGCACUAUAUGUCAGGCUAUCUCCUGCCUGCAAGAAGACUUGGAUUGGCUUCUCGAGAGAGGCUUUACAUGACAUGUCCACCUUCAUCAAACUGGCUGUUCCAUCAGCUACUAUGGUCUGCUUUGAAUUCUGGUCAUUCGAGUUGCUCGUGCUUCUCUCGGGCAUUCUUCCAAAUCCAAAGCUAGAAACAUCAGUUUUGUCGAUAAGCCUCAAUACUGCUUCCAUGGUGUUCAUGGUCCCUUUUGGCCUUGGUGCUGCAGUAAGUACACGCGUUUCAAAUGAACUUGGUGCUGGCCAUCCACAAGCUGCAAGCUUAGCAGUAAAGGUGGUGGUAUUCCUGGCCAUCACAGAAGGAUUGAUAGUGGGCUUAACCAUGAUUCUGGCGCGAGGCAUUUGGGGUUAUGCAUACAGCAACGUGGAAGAAGUCGUAAGAUAUGUGGCCAUUAUGAUGCCAAUCCUCGCAACCUCAAACUUGCUGGAUGGAAUGCAAUGUGUACUCUCAGGUGUUGCCAGAGGAUGCGGGUGGCAAAAGAUUGGUGCUUUAGUUAAUCUUGGAGCUUAUUACAUUGUCGGCAUUCCUUCGGCUCUCCUUCUAGCGUUUGUCCUCCAUGUUGGAGGAAAGGGACUUUGGAUGGGAAUAAUAUGUGGCCUCUUUGUACAAGUGCUGCUCUUUUCGGCCAUUGCCUAUUGCACUAACUGGGAGAAAGAAAGCUGCAGGGGAUGAGAGUAUACAUGUUGUUUUUCUCCAACGAUGUUGGAUGCCGUUGUGGCGGGGAUUAAAGCUUUGCUAAUGCUAACUGCUAGGAAGGCGAAGGACAGAGUGAUCAACUCCACCGUUCCCAAAGACACUGCAACAUGAUGGCAUGAUCAUGUGAAGCUCCUGUAAGCUUCUGGCCGUCAGAACUGCAAUGAGAAGCAGAGAGGAGAAUGCAAUUGUUACAGUAUGGCACCAGAAAAAUUGUUGAAAAUAACAUGAAACUAUUGUUUGGUGCAUCUCUAUUUUCAUGAAUAUUUUCGACUUCUCUUUGUUGUGAAGUCCAUUUUUCAUUUUGUCUUUUACUUUCCGCCUUUAAAGUACUAAGUUGAUCGACUAUUAAUUAUUGGACUUUGAGCUUGUGAAAUUUGAGAAAUUAUGAAAUAAAGGAUAGGUUUUGGA